ensembl:lncRNA
GCUUUUAUAAAUAUUGCAAAGCAUAUUAUGAUAAUUCAUUCCAUGAGAAGUCUCAACUCAAGUUCUCCUUUUUUUACAUUAAACUCUUCUGUUUUGCAGAACUUGAGAUAAUUAAAGAAAAACCCAAGCCAGCACCAAAGAAAGAGGCUGAAGUCAUCAAAGAGAAAGCUAAACCAGCUCCUGAAAAGAAAGAGACUGAAGUCAUCAAGGAGAAAGUUAAACCAGCUCCUGUAAAGAAAGAAGUCAUCAAGGAGAAACCUAAACCAGCGCCUGAAAAGAAAGAGGCUGAAGUCAUCAAGGAGCAAGUUACACCAGUUUCUGUAAAGAAAGGUAUGAAUAUCAGUGAAAUACUCCUGCGUAUGUUGUCACUUUCCACCGUAUAGUGAUAAAAUUAUCACAUGAAAAAAAUAUUAUUUUAUAGAGCCUGAAGUUCUUAAAGAAAAGGCCCAUGAACCAAAACCCCAAACAGUUGUUGUUGUUUUUCAACACAGACCGAUAAUGUGUGCUUUCAUUGUUAAGUUUUAGA